CGGACUCACACCAUGUUCUUGUAAUGUGGUCAUGUCUGUCCGCUGUUUGAAGAGCAUCUCUGGCCUAAACACAAUAGGAAGAACAACAACACGGCAAAAAAAAACAACACAUUUCCAUAUUAGAUGAAGGGCACCGUAACUGGAAAUGAUCCCUGCUGUUCCCCAGCUGCCCUGUAGGUGGCCUCAGUGUGUCUCACACCAUUUACAGAUGAUUACAGGUCGUUUACAGUUCAAACAGGUCCAACAUAAGAAAUAUGCAGAAAAUAUCCUGCUAUAACAGUUUGGGUCAAAGUGCAGAUGUUCCAGAUGUUCUGAGUCUGUCUGUGUUUCAUGUUAACAUGUAGAUGUUGGACCAAAGUGAAGCUUUUUGAUGUGACAGCAGGAAUGUGAAGUGUAACUCUGAGCUGUAGGAAAUGAAACUAAACGCACUUUUUCUCCUUUAUUUAUAGGAAAGUGUAGGAGAGCAACAGAUGAACAAGCGUUACUGUAACAGGAAACAUCAGAGGACCUGUAUGUUCAUCAUCAUCACUGUUUCCUUGUUCUGUCACAAACACACAACACUUCCUGCUCUCUCUCUGAUGGAUCUGAUUGGCUGUUUCAUUCACAGGAG
ensembl:lncRNA